UCCGCUUCCUGUUCCCCACGCACGAGCGCGCGUCGCCGCCACCGCCGGUCGCCCCGUCUUCGACUGGAUCUGGACCCUCCCUGCCGGGAUCCACGUGCCCAGCCACCUGCGCCGUCCCAUGCGCCAUCGCACGCCGGAGGACCUGCGCCUUGCCUUCCUCGCCAUCGAGCACAAAGGCGCUCGAUCCAGACGACGCCACCGUUGACCGCUCCUCUGCCUCGCCGCCUCCGCCGUCCCCAUGUGUCUCCUGGACAUGGAGAGAGAGCACGGGAGGGAAGGAGGAAGGAAGAGGGAGGCGUGGCCGUGGUUGGUUCUCCGGCGGCGUUGGAUCGGUGCAUGGCCGCAGAGCUCCUGCUCGGGGCCGCGAAGAUCUAGGGAGGGACUCGGGUGCGAGGCUGCGGGUCUAUGCAGAGAUGGCGCUGCUCCUUCAACUUUUGAAGAAUGCGCUGAGACAUCAGCUAGAUCCGCAGGUCUUGCUCCCCAAAAUCCAUCCCUUCUCUUCUUUGGUCCAAUCUGGACUGUUAAUUCCGUCAAGAGGUGUGAAUCAUCGUUUUACUGGAUGCUCUCCCGAUCAUUUCUUCAUAUGCAUUUUGUGGGUAGCAAAAUGUUCUCUCUGUAUGGAUUUGAAAAAGGACCAACUCUUACGAAAUACUUCUUAAAUAGGAUGUGCGAUUUUGAUAGUAUUUUCUAUGAAUUUUGGGAAAAUUUAUGUUAUAUAGCAUGCUUCAUUAAUUCUUUUAGCUCAAGAUAGCUCCCUUGGUGAUUCUUUUCAAUGAAGGACUUGCUCUCCAGCAUGUGGUUUGGUAUUUCUUGACUGCAAGUAUUCAGCAGCUACAACUGAACUGAAGAUCAGCAAGUAUUUAAGCAACACAUAUGUUUGGUUCGCAUGUGUUAUAACCAGAUCAACGAAGUUUCUGCACAUCAUGAGUAAGAGGCGAAGAAAUCAUGUUUGCAAAUGGCCAUCGAUUAAACCGCAGUAUUUUCCAUGAACUGUGGUAACUCUUGCCUAGAAAAACUGCAUGAGAAAAAGUCUUGCUUCAGGUGAAUUUUUGCGUUAUCAUCUUUUGUACAGGUUAAAACUAUCAAGUGUUAACUUUUGUGGUUUGUUAACAAGACUGUUCAUCAUAUCCACUUGUGCAGGUACCAUAACCAGAGUCACUUAUUCGGCAUGGUUUUAUACUGGAAUUAACCACAUAACUAAUUUUGUUUUACCACCUUGACGCCUUCAGUUACAUAGAACUUCUGUCAAUGCCCAACCGAUAAUGAACAAGUACAAUUUUAUAGAUGGUUCAAGUGAAGUUCUGCAAAGUGAAUCAAUUCUGCAAGAUACCAUGCCAUACAUUUUUCCUUGGUAGCAUUAACAUGUAUAGAUCAUUUUAUUGUGUACAACAAAGUCAACAAUACAUGUUUGUAUAACCAUGGCUUUGGUCAAUUUCUGCCAUCGAGCUUCUGCGAAAAUGUGACCAGGAACUAAUUAUGUGGUAAUUCAGUAUAGAACCUGACACUAAAUAAUACUCCCUUCGUUCACUAAUGUAAGACCUUUUAGCUUUUUCUUGAUCGGUUUCUCUUCUUCAGUUGUUGGCUGCCCGUGCAACAUUUUUUCUUGAACCAAGUACUUUGCACUAUAUUUUGAACUUUCUAAUUUUGUUCCGUGACAUGUUUUUGCAGCCUUCCAUUCAAAAUUAGAUCUGGAGGCCUUCGGAUAGCAAUAAAUUUUACCUUUGUUUGUUCAUGCUUCAUAAAUUUGUUUUCCAACUGAUUAUUUGUUGUUACAAAUUUCAGAUUUUGACAGGUUUGGGUCCAUCUAUAACAUGCUUGACCGGGCGAUCACGCGGCUAUCGAGCACUCUUAUCUUCUGGUCAUAAGCUCUUACUAAGAUGUUGUCGGUCAGGUGUCCUCCACUACUGAAGUUUUACCACGAUCUGGUGGUGCUUGAGAGCAGAGACGACAUACUUUCAUCAGCAGUGGCCAAACCCCCACCGCCGCCGGUGCUGUACACCCCUGUACCCCUCGACAUCCAGUGCCUCGCGUCUGCCCAACAUGAAAACCUCCUCAAUAGGUACAUCUCUGAAUUUUUCCCUUGCUAGAGAAAGUCGACCAUUGUUUUGCCGUAGCUAUAAUUUGAGUUUAGAAAGUAUACUACUCUCUUUUUUACGUCAAUUUUUUUAGUUGAUUUUGCUCCAGGAUAGUGCCCUUUAUGUGCAUGAACUAAUGGGUGUGUUCACAACAUAGAGCAGCUUCUCCGUCCAGUCUCAUGUCUUUCUCUUUAGCAGGGAUCAGUGAGUACUACCGAGCAAAAAAGUCCUUCUCUUCGUCAUAUUUCUUCCUUUUCCUUACUACUUUUGUGGCUCCAAAUCUCAUGAUGGCUCUAUGUCUGUUCUUUUCGUUGACAUGGAUUUUACCAUGAAAGUUUCCUUCUGAUCUACAAUGUUCUGCCAUCUAAAUUUUUCUAUAUAUUAUGAAUGAGUAGACACUGGUGCAGAAGCCCAAUUGGAUGAAAUUAGGGACUACAGAGAGAACUUAUGUGGACAGCCCGGCAGAUUUCAAUGGCAAGACUUUUGUACAAUUACAGUGGCAGAUUUCAGAAAUUUGUAGAGCACAUGAUUUACAAUAACAAGAUAUUCUGUCAAGCCAUGGAUAUCAACAAUCAGUCAAGCAAAGAAAUAUUCAUGGGAGAUAUACAGGGAUCCACAAGAAUGUGCACCGUAUGGCACUACCCUUUUGUCAUUGAGCCACUAUCACAUUUUGGUCAGCAAUCAGUUCAAGCAAUUCUCGGCGCCUUUAGUCAGAAGCUGGAAUUUACAACUAAACGAACAUCAAGCAACAGAAGAAAGGGUGGUCAUCUCUUUUUCUUGGCACCAAGAUGCCAUACAAGCAUUGAGACAUCGGAAACACACAAGAAGUUUGUAUAUAAAUGAUUAGCCUUUUAGAAGUAUAUGGCGUUGCUUAAACUAUGUUUCUUUUGGCAACACCAUAUGAAAUGGAGAAAGUUUUAGGUUUAGGAUAAAAUUGUUCUAGAUUUUGAGAAAAUUGUUACAGAUCCAUGAGAAAAAUGUCCCAACUUUAGGAAAUUAACUAUCCAUAUUUUCGGUUAUUGGUUAA